GUGUUACUUCGGUAACACACAUACUAAAAUUGGAACGAUACAGAUGGAUUAGCUUGGCCCCUGCAGCAAGGAUGACACGCAAAUUCGUGAAGCAUUACCACAUUUUU